UAUCUAGAUUUCUCUUCAUUUCUCUUCAAUUCCAGAAGCUAAGCCAUAGGAGGGUUCCCUAAGCUGAUAUUUCAUAAUUUUUGCACCAAAUCUGGAAGAUUUAAAUACGAAGCUAGAUCGAGGAAAGGAAAAAGUUCGGGAUUAGUAGAUUUUUAUUGUUUACAAACAAGUAUCAAGUGUUAAGAGCUCGGAGGCCGGAUUUGGUUGGAGACACAUCACACUGUCAACCUUAGGAUUUUGGUAUAUAAAGAAACUUUAUUUUGGAAAUCAAUGGCAUGUAUAAGCUAACAAAGUAAAUGUUAACGUGAAAUGAAUGUAAAGUUAGCCAUUAGUAUGGUUAACAAACCUGGUUUUAGAUAUGUGAUGACGUUAUCUUAUAAAUAUGCAUGAAUUUAUCUUGAAAA